rnacentral:rRNA from 1 species
CUUGGGUGACUGCGGAGGACAUUA